rnacentral:tRNA from 1 species
GGGGGUCUGGCUUAAUGUUAAAGCGUGCGCUUCAAAGGUGCAAGAUACUAGUUCAAUUCUAGUGGUCUCCA